rnacentral:rRNA from 1 species
GUGAAAUUGUUGAAAGGGAAACGUUUGACACCAGCUAUGCAGGCGGAAAAUCAGUCAACUGCAGUGAGGGGUUGUGUGGGUCUGGACCGCAAGGCCGGCCUUUACCUCACCUUUGCUGUAGGUGAUGCACUUUUUCGUCCGCAGGUCAACAUCAGUUUCGCCCGCUGGACAAAACUCCGAGAGAAGGUAGCAGCUUAGGCUGUGUUAUAGCUCUGGAGCGAUACAGUGGGUGGGACUGAGGAUUCGCAGUGUGCGCUCUCGGGCAAGGCUGACUGGGUGCUCUGGGGUUGUUUGGCGUACAAUGCAUGCAUUUUGCGCCUUGUCUUCCUCAUACUCGCUCAAUUCGGCUCUUCCACGCUUAGGAUGUUGACUUAAUGGUUUUAAACGACCCGUCUUGAAACACGGACCAAGGAGUCUAACAUGCAUGCAAGUGUUUGGGUGGCAAACCCAUGCGCGUAAUGAAAGUGAACGUAGGUGCGAUCCGCAAGGUGCAGCAUCGACCGAUCUUGAUAUCUUUGGA